rnacentral:rRNA from 1 species
UACGUAGGUGGCGAGCGUUGUCCGGAUUUACUGGGCGUAAAGAGCGCGCAGGCGGCUGGUCAAGUCCGAUGUGAAAGCUCCCGGCUUAACUGGGAAAUUGCAUCGGAAACUGAUCGGCUGGAAGGUGGGAGAGGGUAGCGGAAUUCCCGGUGUAGUGGUGAAAUGCGUAGAUAUCGGGAGGAACACCAGUGGCGAAGGCGGCUCUCUGGACGGUGACUGACGCUGAGACGCGAAAGCGUGGGGAGCAAACAGG